rnacentral:lncRNA from 1 species
UUUGCACCCAGAUCUUCAGUUCAUACUCUGAAACUUAAGCCCAACUCCCAACCUUUGUUAUAGCUGAAUAAUUAAGGAAUUAAUUUCAGCUGGAAAGUGGUAAUGACUGAAUGACCAUCAGGAAAAAUUGCACUCCCUGAAAGUUUUACCAAUACCUCAUCGCUGAGGGGUUUUGGUUAUGGCUCAUUUCUUUACAGGUUGCCUUCUGCGUCCAGAUUUGGAAUUUGAGAUGGGAGAACAUGAAAUUAGUCAAAGACUCUAAAAAAAAAUUAUAUGAGGCAAAUGGUUGGAGAAGGUAAACUUCAGCUUCUUCAAGGAAGUUCUUCAACAGCCUCAGGAAAAUCUGAACUAACCAUGGAUGUAUCUGGAAGAAGAGGAUUCUUUCCGUCCUCAUCUCUGAAUGCCGUCAUGUGGGAAUGACCUUUAAGGAAGAGCUGUGCUA